GUGUUUGCUUCAGUAGCACAUAUGCUAAAAUUAGAACAAUACAGAGAUUAGCAUAGCCCCUGCUCAAGGAUGACACACAAAUCUGUGAAAUGUUCCAAUUAAAA
ensembl:snRNA U6 U6 spliceosomal RNA